rnacentral:rRNA from 1 species
AUGUGCCCCAUCCAUGUAGUCAUGGAUAUUCGCGCCAACUAUUUUAGCAGCAAAACUCGCUACUCGCCCAAAGCCCUCUGCAAAGAAAAAGAAAAAAGAAAAUUUGUACUUCCAGUGAAAUUUAAUAAUAGAUCUAAUCCUUUUCGCAAAAAAAGAAGCCCUCUGCACUCCGCCGUCACACUACGUCCGUCUCGUUCUAUAUAUCUGGGACCGGGUGCACUCCAUCCAUUUUUCUAUCACAAUGCACAAACUCAGGCCACCACACACAAGGUUUAUGGCCUCUUUGAUUUGCAGGAUUUUAAAAAUGUGAGAGUAGGGAAAACACAGGAUUGGAAUGUCAUGCUCAUCUCAAUCCUACACAAUUUUGGUUUGUUAGAUUGCAUUUGCAUCAUAGGAAAAACAAAGGAUUCUUUUUAA